rnacentral:lncRNA from 1 species
GAUCCUUGUUUCCACCAGCCACGGCCGGCGCGUCCCGGGAACGACCAGCCGCCAGAAACCCUUUAGAGGGACGACGGUCGCCGCGAAGCGGUCGGAGGAGGGAGGGAGGGAAGGGAGAGGAAGGGGGCCGAACCUCCGAACCUGUACCUAACCACACCACACCGAACACCGACGCCGCGGCGCGCGCCCGUCGAAGCCGGGACACCGGUAGCGGGGGUGGCGCCGGCGCCGGGGCCGAUUCCCGCGCCUUUCCACACGCCUCUCGACCCCCAGGGAGCGCUCGCAUCGGCGAACGGACACCGCGGCGUCCCGCGGGCCGACGCCGGAGCGGGCACCCCCGGGCGAGGGAGACGGAGGAAGAGAGACGCGAGGACGACCGGCGACGCUCGCGACGAACCGAGGCGCGACCGCGGCGCGGGCCCGGCCAACCCUCGCGGGCGCGUGCGGCGCGACGACGCUCCCGGAGGGGGGAAAGGAGAGGACGACGCCCCGGGGUGGGGACGGGAGCCGGAAGGGGGAUCACCGAGGAAGAAGCGGCGGGCAUAGGGGCCGAUUCCCCUUAGAACCGGGCCACACCGCAUCCAACCUCCGCGACAACCCCCCACACACACACGACGCCCCCAGCCCCGAGACGGGACCACACCUCCCCACCGUCCGCUGCCUCUCUCUCGUCCACACACACCGGCGGGCUGCGGCGGCGACGAGGGCCGCGGGCGCCCCCGCCCCGCGGACCCCUUCCGAGACACGCCACACACCACCGAUAACCCACGGCUGCCACCAGGGAACCGACCGGCCCGUCGACGCACGCGGGAGGCGGGCGACGGGCGGGAGCGGAGCAUCGGGACGAAGCCGAGGGAACGGCGGGGGUGCGGACAUCGGUCGGGGCGCACACGGGAGACGACGACGACGACCACCGACCACCGCCAACAGCAAGCAACCCAACACGCGUCUGAACUUAGGGAGACGGAGGGCCCAAGAGGGGAGGGCCCUGCGAGAUAACCCCCAGCCGCGCGACCCCCCCCACCAACGGCGCACCGCGGGGGGUGGGGAGGCGAUUGAUCGUCAAGCGACGCUCAGACAGGCGUAGCCCCGGGAGGAACCCGGGGCCGCAAGUGCGUUCGAAGUGUCGAUGAUCAAUGUGUCCUGCAAUUCACAUUAAUUCUCGCAGCUAGCUGCGUUCUUCAUCGACGCACGAGCCGAGUGAUCCACCGCUAAGAGUCGUAUCAACGUUUCGAACGUGGGAAGAGACGAAAACUCGACCCAACUGGGAAGCUGACGGCGGCACGGUUCCCCCAUAUCACCGACCCCCACACACCGCAUCAUAAGACUCCUCUCCCAAGGAACAACCCACAACAGGAGGGACGGGGAGGACGGAAUAGGGGGGGGAUUCGCCUCAGGCCGGCCAGCGAGACAAAACAAGAAGACGACACAAACUCUCAAGAAGAGGGUCGGGACGGGAGGAACGACACGGGGCCCGAGACCACCGACGCACCGGGCAAGCCGGGCGACGAGGGGCGAGCCCCACGGGCGCCCAAGGGGGGCUCCCGACCCAGACCGCGGCGAGACACGGGAAAGGCCUCGUCCGCGGAAGGAACGGGAGUCCGAGGGAGCCGCCACACGGGCGGCUUUCCCCACAGGCCCUCCGCCCCCCCGACCCGCGGGGACGCAAGGGCGACCCCCCCGGGGUCUUUAAACCUACGCGCCGGAACGCGGUAACCAGGUACCCGGACAGGGUCGGGGCCGGACGCUCCGAAGCCAGAAGGGGAUGAGGCGGGAGAGAGACGGGUCCCGCCGCGACGUGACGUGACACCCGACACCGCGCGCCACUCAACCAAACCACACGACACCGGCUCCGGCGCAUCGAGAAAGCCGUAGCCACGGCGGUAAGGUGAGGCGGCGGCGGCGGCGGCAGGAGCCCGAACGCAACAGCGGGCGAGCCACCUCUGCUCCUUCCCACCCAACUAAUGGCGAACGAACGCGAACCAGCCCCUGUAACGGUGAAGACGAACGAGGCCGGACGGGAAAGAGGGACGCCCACGGGCUUUAGCGGCUUCAGAAGGAGCAAUCGGCGGGCGGGCAGGGCGGAU